rnacentral:rRNA from 1 species
AUGACUGUUGCGGGAUUUGACAGGAUCGCCCGGGCCUACCAGUCAGCCACUCGGAAGAGACUUCAUAUAAGGCGCCGGACGGGGGUUUUCCAAACAGUGCGCCCUCAAUCCCCUCUCCCUCUUCCUCGAACUCGCCCGCUGCGCUCGCUUCCACCUCCGCCUCGCUGCUCCUUGCGCGCCUUGCCGGCGAUGAUGGUGAAGGAAAAGACGGCGGCUUUGGAGUGGGCGAAGAAGGUGACGGUGAAGGCGAAGGGGAGAGCGCCUAGUCGGGGCGGAUCUUCGUCGCGGUCUGGCCUGCCGCAAGGCUGGAUUCAGGGAGACUGGAUCCGCUCGACCAUCACCCGGAAGGACCUCAACGACCUGGCCAACGAAGGACUGAUCCCCCAAGGGUCAGCGAGGCUUCCGGGGAAGGAGUGGCAGCCGCAGCCUCAGGACGGUGAGUGCGUCCUCUUAGCCACCCAUGUAGAUCGCGGUUUUUCUCUGCCGCCGAAUCUUUUCUUCCGAGGGUUUCUGAACUUCUUUGGUGCCCAACUCCAUCACUUCACACCCAACUCCAUUGCCUACCUUGCCGCUUUCAUGUCGUUGUGUGAAAACUUCUUGGGUUGCCGGCCACACUGGGGCCUUUUCAAACACAUUUUCACUUGUCGCUCUCAGACGGUGAAAAAGGCUAGCCCGAAUGACGAGAGGACCUAA